AGAGUUUGAUCAUGGCUCAGGAUGAACGCUGGCGGCGUGCCUAACACAUGCAAGUCGAACGGAGAUUAGUUGGAACGGAGCACUUGUGCUCAGGGAAGAUUAAGUUUAGUGGCGGACGGGUGAGUAACACGUGAGCAACCUGCCUUGGUCAGGGGGAUAACAACGGGAAACCGUUGCUAAUACCGCAUGAUAUAUCUUUACGGCAUCGUACGGGAUAUCAAAGGAGCAAUCCGGACUGAGAUGGGCUCGCGUCCGAUUAGUUAGUUGGUGGGGUAAUGGCCCUACCAAGACCGCGAUCGGUAGCCGGACUGAGAGGUUGACCGGCCACAUUGGGACUGAGACACGGCCCAGACUCCUACGGGAGGCAGCAGUGGGGAAUAUUGGGCAAUGGGGGCAACCCUUCGACCCAGCGACGCCGCGUGAAGGACGAAGGCCUUCGGGUUGUAAACUUCUUUGAUCGAGGACGAUAAUGACGGUACUCGAGGAACAAGCCACCGGCUAACUACGUGCCAGCCGCUGC
rnacentral:rRNA from 1 species